CUAGCUACACUGCGUAUCAAUAUAUAUGAACACUUGAAUUUCUGAGGUUUCAGUGCCUUAAAACAGUUUUCCAUAUAAACCAAUUAUAUUACGAUAUUCAGCGUGUCAAAAAAUCAUUGAACACCUAUUAUAUUUCAAUACGGGAAUAGCCAAAAGUCGAUUUUUAUACUGUAUCAUGAAAAAACGAACAUUUAUUAAAACAAGAAUUUUAUUAAAUUUCAUAUUAACUUCAUUUCAUUUCAUUGAAGUUUACCUUGUUCAAACUCAGAAAGAUUAGCUCCAAGUGGAGGUAAUUUCAUCUGUAUUGUAUAUUUUGCAAAAAACUAAAGUGCAAUAGCAAAUAAGGGAAGCGAAUAGUCAGUAGCUCCCCAGCUAAGCACUAUAAACUCAAUAAACAAACAAACAAUACAGUAUAAGGAAACAAUUUCGAAAAAGAGUACAAAACAUGAAUCAAGAACACUAAUAAUAUCAAGAAUAAUAGGCUUAUCAUUAAGAAUAUACACAAUUGCUUUUCAGAAGUUUGUAAAUAAUUAGUAGCGGUUGAACAAAUGCAUUUAACAUUACUUAAUAUUAUGGGAAAGUCUUGUUUCAAGUCUGUUUCCAAAAACUGAACAUUGGAAGGAUCUACUCUCCCACCAUUUGGAAAAACACGCUCCGUAUAAACUGGGUUUUGGUUAGAACAUUCGAGGGCGGGAUCUGCAUGCAUAUCGAAUACCUGCGAAAGAUCGUCGGCUUCCUGGCUGGAGGAGAAGGGAGAGGAAAUCUACCGGUUAUUCGAGACUUACCGCUGCCUCGAACUGCACGCUCCGCUUCGACCAGUCGCGACAAGCAAAGAAGGAGCGAACGCGUGUAGCAAUUCGAGAUUGCAAAACUGUCGAGGUCGCUACGGUUCUCCUCGCCCGUUUCCAAUACAGCCGCCAGUAUUCGUCCUGCUUCGCGAUCCUUUCUCGAAAAAUCCCCGUUUCCUGUCCGAAAGGGAGAAGUCACCUUGGACGCGUGACAACAAAUCAUAGCUAUAUUUCAAUUUUUUUUCGAAAAGAAUUGACUCAAUGGAAAAUCUGUUUGCUAGCGUUCACCGUACAUAUAUCGAGUAAUGCAAAAGUAACUUGUAUUAAGAUUUUAAAAAUAUAAUAGCGAAAAAAUGUAAUAAUUGGAGCCAUUAUGUGACAAGUCUUUUUUGAAUGACUUUCUAAUCGGCAGAGCACGGAUCUCGGGAAUGGUUAGACAUCAAAUGAAAAAAGAAGUAUUUUCAUUUUCCAAAUGACAUAUAGGGGAGAGUGGGGCAAUAAGUUACCCAAGUGAUGACACAGUUGUAGCAAAGGUUACGGGAUUACAUAAUCAGUACGACGUUUUACUUUUACUUACAGUUUAAUGAUGUACGAAAAUAUUGAAAAGCAUGUUACAUAGAAGAGACUACUGGUAUACAGGGUGUCCCAUAAAUGUUGUAACACAUUGAAAGAGGUGGUUCGGGAGGUGAUUUGAAACAACUUUUUCCUUAGCGAAAAUGUUGUCCGAGGCUUCGUUGUGGAGAUAUUAACGGAAAACACUGACCAAUCAGAGCGCGAGUAUGCCGAUGGAGCGCCAGCAGUAGGCGUGGCUAUGCGCUAGGCGGCCACGCUCAUACGCUAUCGCGGCCGCUCCAUCGGUAUACUCGCGCUCUGAUUGGUCAGUGUUUUCCAUUACUAUCUCCUCACCGAAGCCUCGGACAAUAUUUUUACUAAGGAAAAAGUUGUUUCAAAUCACCUCCCGAACCACUCCUCUCAACGACUUCCAACAUUUUUGGACACCCUGUAUAUCGCGAGAUGGCGCACGCACGCUGCCAACCGGAAAUACUUUAACAAAAUUUUGCGAAGUUAUCCCCUAUAUUAUGAUACUUAAGUUGUAUUAGCAUAAAUCAAUUUGAGCUACAGGGUGUCCAAAUAUUCACGUAUAAAGUGUAACGCGUUCAAUAUCUUUCGCUUGCUUGACAUAUUUUAUGUUAUUUAACCAAAAUCCGACUCGAAACUAUUAAUAAUAGUGAAAGAACUGUAUUUAACAAUUUAAAAAUUACAGGUUUAUGUAAUAAUAAUAGAAGUAAGCCAAAAACACUUUAACAUAAAAACAUGUAGCAUACAUAAAGGUAUCAUUUUAUUUAAGAGUACUUUGUUUGACAUAUCAUUUUCUUUUAGAACUAAAAUUUUAUUCAAGUCUGUUAUUAACUGUAAAAAAAAAUAUGUUUGUUAUUCAUUAAUGGUGACACACAAGAUAUAAAAAUAGGAAUAGGUUAUUAAGAGUUUAAAAUAAAAACACAUACGUAGUAUGGUUCACUCUUCCAUGUGAUAGUAAUUAAACAUCGAACAAGUGCGGUCGACUUUUUAUGACCAUGCGUAAACAGGUUUUCCAUAUUUCGAAUUCACAAAAAUCGAUUUUUGAUCGCCGAAAGUCGUUUUGUCCCGCUGUGCGUCGUAGUAAUUGGGACACGAAAUUUAUACUAACCUGUCCUGUUCCAUACAAAUCGUCGCUUUCACAACGUAGAAAAGUCAUGAUUCGUAUAAGGUCUGCACAGACUCGAAAAUACGAAUCUCUUCUGUUUUUUAUAAGGGGUCUUUCUGGCGCGACGACCGAAAACAUAAGCAUACUUUAGAAACUCUUUGGGAAGUCUAUAAAAUAAAGAAUAAUUCCAAUGUUUCUUUCUUCUGCUAAUAAUACUACUCAGAAAUAGUAUAAAAAUAUUUUUGUAUGAACUUUGAACAAAUUAUUUAAUGAUUGUGAUUACAAAAAGAUUCAAGUAGUUUAUUAAAUGAUAUAAGUGUAGUUAUCGUGUAAAGCAGGAUAAAUCGUGUCAGUGACAAAAUAAAAAAAGGAAUAUGA